AACGCCGUGGAACAGUGGCUAGUUUAUCAGGCUCAUACUAAAAGUGUCACCUGAGGGUCCCUCGAUCGAAACGAGGCGGCGUUA